AAAGAUGAACUUCAGUACGCACUCAUAGAUUUUGGGUUCCCUGUUGUCUCUGCCGGUAAGCUCUUUGACUCAUUCUAAGCUGAUUUAGUGUUUGCUUGGAUUGGGUUUGGGAAAUUAGGGUUUAAAUAUAGAAUUUUCUUUGAAAUUUGCUUUUACUGGGUUUUGUUCAUAUUGGGGAUGCGGGGUUUGUGUGGUAGGUUAUGUUCACAAUGGGUAUUGGGUUUAGUGGGUUGUGUUCAUAUUAAAGGAGUCGAGGACGAAAUUGAGAAGGGCUGAUACUUCAUCCUGGGAUAUUUGUCGAAUAUUGAUCUUAUGCACACUAGAUGUUUGUUAAAUUGCCUCACUGGGCUACAUUGCAUGUUCUCACUUUUUUUUUUUUUUUUGUAGUAUUGUGUAGAGCUGCAGUGAGGGAUUAUGAAUAAUGGAUUAUGUAUUCUAGUUUCAUAGAUUUUGUGUGAUUACGUUGGGGUUUUGGCUUAAUAUCUAAUUUGUGAUGUUAACAAAUGAUCGGUGUUUUGUAUGUGGGAAAUUUCGGGGACUCGAGAGCAGUCCUUGACUAGAAAGUGAGCAAGAGCAAGGUAAUGGUGGAAUGGUUGUCAUUGGAUCAUAAUGUGGGUAUACAGAUGUUAAAAUAAUGGAUUGCAGGUACAAACUUGUUUUUGCUCCUCUAAUUCUUUUAUAAGCACUCAUCUGUUGCAUUUUUAACUUUUGUGCUGGAGGAUUUGAGAAGAAGCAAUCAGCUUAGGAAUAUUUUCUCUUUCCAUAGUAAGUGCAGGUAAUCAUUUAUCUCUUUUUGAAUUGCAGGUACAAAAUUUGUAGAAGUUAAGAUCUACAUUGGCACAUAGCUAUAUGUACACUUAUCUAUGCACUGUAAACUUCUAGAUGUAUUUAGGUACAUGAUGCAAAUCUAUGCAAAUUAUAUUAGUUCCAUCAGGCUUUAUGGUUUUAUGUGGUUUUAUGUAAUAGAUAAAUAUGACUAGAACAAGACUUCUACUAACCAGACUCAUAAUUAAUAGUUUAUGUGAGUUCAUUCUCUCUUUCAUUGUUAUUCUGUUGCUCUGAGUUUACACCUGUACAGAUGUUCAUAUAUAUGCAGGUUUGAACGUUAUGUUUUUCAUUUCAUCAAUUAGGUUUAUUGUAUUGGUUUUUGAUCAAGGAAAUUAUGUGUGUGCUUGCAGAGUAGAUUACCAUUCGAGGUGUUGUUAAUUGUGAAGCUACCGCUCACAUUCUAAUCAUCUUUUUCAGGUUAGUUUGUUUAUAAUCCCAUCCCUUUAUGUCUACGUACUCUACUUUUUUUUUAUGAAUUUAUACUCAUAUAUAGAUACAUAUAUAUAAUUUCAGUUAUAUGUAGCACCCAAAUGUUGUAUAAUGAUUUUGUGUGCAUAGUGACUUAUUCUUAUAUGUCCUUCACUAGGAUUUGGUCUUUGUAAGUUUAUGAUAGUAUCAGAGAGUGUGUUGGGUUGAUGAGAGUUCCACUGAUGGUUCCUUCAACCUAACAAAGAUA
rnacentral:lncRNA from 1 species